AGAGUUUGAUCCUGGCUCAGGACGAACGCUGGCGGCGUGCCUAACACAUGCAAGUCGAACGGAGAAUUUGGAAAAGCUUGCUUAGAAGAAUUCUUAGUGGCGGACGGGUGAGUAACGCGUGGGUAACCUACCCAUAAAACCGGGACAACCCUUGGAAACGAGGGCUAAUACCGGAUAAUCUUAGAUCUUGGCAUCAAGGACUAAGGAAAGGUGGCCUCUGUAUAUGCUACCGAUUAUGGAUGGACCCGCGUCUGAUUAGCUAGUUGGUGGGGUAAAGGCCUACCAAGGCGACGAUCAGUAGCCGGCCUGAGAGGGUGAACGGCCACACUGGGACUGA
rnacentral:rRNA from 1 species